AUUGAACGCUGGCGGCAGGCCUAACACAUGCAAGUCGAGCGGAUGAAGGGAGCUUGCUCCUGGAUUCAGCGGCGGACGGGUGAGUAAUGCCUAGGAAUCUGCCUGGUAGUGGGGGAUAACGUCCGGAAACGGGCGCUAAUACCGCAUACGUCCCGAGGGAGAAAGUGGGGGAUCUUCGGACCUCACGCUAUCAGAUGAGCCUAGGUCGGAUUAGCUAGUUGGUGGGGUAAAGGCCUACCAAGGCGACGAUCCGUAACUGGUCUGAGAGGAUGAUCAGUCACACUGGAACUGAGACACGGUCCAGACUCCUACGGGAGGCAGCAGUGGGGAAUAUUGGACAAUGGGCGAAAGCCUGAUCCAGCCAUGCCGCGUGUGUGAAGAAGGUCUUCGGAUUGUAAAGCACUUUAAGUUGGGAGGAAGGGCAGUAAGUUAAUACCUUGCUGUUUUGACGUUACCAACAGAAUAAGCACCGGCUAACUUCGUG
rnacentral:rRNA from 1 species